rnacentral:rRNA from 1 species
AACGAAUACUGGCAGUGUGCCUUAAGCAUGCAAGUCGAACGAUGCUGUGAAUAACAGUAUAGUGGCGAACGGGUGCGUAACACGUAGUCAGCUGACCCAAAGACGGGAAUAGCCUCAAGAGAUUGGGGGUAAUGCCCGAUGAGCCCUAAGGGGGAAACGCUCAAUGCGCUCUGGGAGGUGACUGCGGCCCAUCAGGUAGUUGGCGGGGUAAAAGCCCACCAAGCCUAUGACGGGUAGCCGGCCUGAGAGGGUGUCCGGCCACACUGGGACUGAGACACGGCCCAGACUCCUACGGGAGGCAGCAGCUAGGAAUUUUCCGCAAUGGGCGAAAGCCUGACGGAGCGACACUGCGUUGAGGAUUGAAGGCCCCACGGGGUUGUAAACUCAUUUUAAGCUAGAAGAGAGAGGACUGUAUAGCUGGAAUAAGCCCCGGCAAACUACGUG